rnacentral:rRNA from 1 species
AGUGAACGCUGGCGGUAGGCCUAACACAUGCAAGUCGAACGGCAGCACAGUAAGAGCUUGCUCUUACGGGUGGCGAGUGGCGGACGGGUGAGGAAUACAUCGGAAUUUACUUUUUCGUGGGGGAUAACGUAGGGAAACUUACGCUAAUACCGCAUACGACCUACGGGUGAAAGCAGGGGAUCUUCGGCCCUUGCGCGAUUCAAUGAGCCGAUGUCGGAUUAGCUAGUUGGCGGGGUAAAGGCCCACCAAGGCGACGAUCCGUAGCUGGUCUGAGAGGAUGAUCAGCCACACUGGAACUGAGACACGGUCCAGACUCCUACGGGAGGCAGCAGUGGGGAAUAUUGGACAAUGGGCGCAAGCCUGAUCCAGCCAUACCGCGUGGGUGAAGAAGGCCUUCGGGUUGUAAAGCCCUUUUGUUGGGAAAGAAAAGCAGCAGGUUAAUACCCCGCUGUUCUGACGGUACCCAAAGAAUAAGCACCGGCUAACUUCGUG